ensembl:lncRNA
CGAGAGGAGGCGGGCCGGUGACAAAGGUUGAAUGGAACUUGUGCAGCUGUUUUUUACCCUUGCAGUCUGCUGUGUGCCCGUGCUGCGGGUUGAGCGGUGCCGUUGUGCGGGGCGGACGUUCGGAGUCUGUUCUUUGCCCAGGCAAGUUGGCAAAUUUCGGGCCUUAAAGACAUAGGGAGCUGUGACACCGAUGAUACACCUGAACUUCCUUUUCUGUUUCCAAAGGUGUGUAAGACAUGUCGCUUUUGGUCUUUUAUUAGAG